rnacentral:rRNA from 1 species
CAGCUUACUGGAUUGUAACUGACGCUGAUGCUCGAAAGUGUGGGUAUCAAACAGGAUUAGAUACCCUGGUAGUCCACACAGUAAACGAUGAAUACUCGCUGUUGGCGAUAUACAGUCAGCGGCCAAGCGAAAGCAUUAAGUAUUCCACCUGGGGAGUACGCCGGCAACGGUGAAACUCAAAGGAAUUGACGGGGGCCCGCACAAGCGGAGGAACAUGUGGUUUAAUUCGAUGAUACGCGAGGAACCUUACCCGGGCUUGAAUUGCAACUGAAUGAUGUGGAGACAUGUCAGCCGCAAGGCAGUUGUGAAGGUGCUGCAUGGUUGUCGUCAGCUCGUGCCGUGAGGUGUCGGCUUAAGUGCCAUAACGAGCGCAACCCUUAUCGAUAGUUACCAUCAGGUUAUGCUGGGGACUCUGUCGAGACUGCCGUCGUAAGAUGUGAGGAAGGUGGGGAUGACGUCAAAUCAGCACGGCCCUUACGUCCGGGGCUACACACGUGUUACAAUGGGGGGUACAGAAGGCAGCUACACGGUGACGUGAUGCUAAUCCCUAAAGCCUCUCUCAGUUCGGAUUGGAGUCUGCAACCCGACCCCAUGAAGCUGGAUUCGCUAGUAAUCGCGCAUCAGCCACGGCGCGGUGAAUACGUUCCCGGGCCUUGUACACACCGCCCGUCAAGCCAUGAAAGCCGGGGGUACCAAAAGUGCGUAACCGCAAGGAGCGCCCUAGGGUAAAACCC